rnacentral:rRNA from 1 species
AUGGCGGCUCCGGUGGUGGACGCCGAGUACCUGCGCCAGGUCGACAGGGGGCGCCGCGCUCUCCGCGCCCUCAUCGCCUCCAAGGGAUGCGCCCCCAUCAUGCUCCGCCUCGCAUGGCAUGAUGCUGGCACGUAUGAUGUGAACACAAGAACUGGUGGUGCAAAUGGUUCAAUUAGAUACGAGGAAGAGUACACCCAUGGUUCAAAUGCUGGCUUAAAAAUUGCUAUUGAUCUCCUCGAGCCUAUUAAAGCGAAGCAUCCAAAGAUUACAUAUGCAGACCUUUAUCAGCUUGCUGGAGUAGUUGCAGUUGAAGUCACCGGGGGUCCAACCGUUGAGUUCAUCCCUGGAAGACGUGAUUCGUCAGUUUGUCCCCGUGAAGGGCGCCUUCCUGAUGCUAAGAAAGGCGCACCACAUCUAAGGGACAUCUUUUAUCGAAUGGGCUUAACAGACAAAGAUAUUGUAGCACUAUCUGGGGGGCACAGCCUGGGAAAGGCACAUCCUGAAAGGUCUGGUUUUGACGGUGCAUGGACUCGUGACCCUCUGAAGUUUGACAACUCAUACUUUCUUGAGCUACUGAAGGGGGAAUCGGAGGGUCUUCUGAAGCUCCCUACUGAUAAGGCAUUGUUGGAUGAUCCUGAAUUUAGACGUUAUGUGGAGCUUUAUGCAAAGGACGAGGAUGCUUUCUUCAAGGACUAUACUGAAUCACACAAGAAACUUUCUGAACUUGGCUUCACACCACGGAUCAGUGGCCCAGCUUCUACAAAAUCAGAUGUUUCAACUGCUGUUGUACUUGCACAGAGUGCAGUGGGGGUAGCAGUUGCGGCAGCUGUAGUCAUCGCGGGCUACCUGUACGAGGCUUCCAAGAGGAGCAAGUAA